UACGGAGGGGACUAGCGUUGUUCGGAAUUACUGGGCGUAAAGCGCGCGUAGGCGGGUUCGUAAGGCGAUUGUGAAAGCCCCGGGCUUAACCUGGGAUGUGCAGUCGAAACUGUGAAUCUUGAGUGCCUGAGAGGAUGGCGGAAUUCCCGGUGUAGAAGUGAAAUUCGUAGAUAUCGGGAAGAACACCUGAGGCGAAGGCGGCUAUCUGGCGGUGCACUGACGCUGAGGCGCGAAAGCGUGGGGAGCAAACAGG
rnacentral:rRNA from 1 species